rnacentral:rRNA from 1 species
UUCUGGCUCAGAGUGAACGCUGGCGGUAGGCCUAACACAUGCAAGUCGAACGGCAGCACAGUAAGAGCUUGCUCUUACGGGUGGCGAGUGGCGGACGGGUGAGGAAUACAUCGGAAUCUACUUUUUCGUGGGGGAUAACGUAGGGAAACUUACGCUAAUACCGCAUACGACCUACGGGUGAAAGCAGGGGAUCUUCGGACCUUGCGCGAUUGAAUGAGCCGAUGUCGGAUUAGCUAGUUGGCGGGGUAAAGGCCCACCAAGGCGACGAUCCGUAGCUGGUCUGAGAGGAUGAUCAGCCACACUGGAACUGAGACACGGUCCAGACUCCUACGGGAGGCAGCAGUGGGGAAUAUUGGACAAUGGGCGCAAGCCUGAUCCCAGCCAUACCGCGUGGGUGAAGAAGGCCUUCGGGUUGUAAAGCCCUUUUGUUGGGAAAGAAAUCCGGCUGGUUAAUACCCGGUUGGGAUGACGGUACCCAAAGAAUAAGCACCGGCUAACUUCGUGCCAGCCGCCGC